UGCUUUGAUUUGCUGACAAGACAAACACCUUGAAACAUACAUUGUAAUCUCCAUCAUGACUUCUCAUAAAUAAAGACUAUGGAGAUCUCUAUACAUUUUAGUGCUACCGGGAUGCAUGGUGUACUUUGAAUUACGAUCUUCCUUCAGGAUUUGAGUCGUGAUAUCUGGGUCAUUUGAAACACAUACUCUAUCCCAAAUCUCAAUAGGCCAUCAAACAAAAUAUGAAAAUUCGGCCUCAAUCCCUUUUCUACUUCAUUCCUCGAAUAUAUUAAAUGUGAAUAUUGAUGUCAUCCUUUCCAAAUUUGAUGAACGAGAACUGAUUAAACAUAGAUAGAGUACAUCAAUAUCAAUGAGUCUUGCCCAUUUCUCAUAAUAUUCAAAUCAUAAUUCUUUUAUAAUAAUCAUAGUAUCAAAGAUGGAAUUUUGAUUAUUAAGGCGUGCAUGUCUGUGAUUAUGAUGUAACUAUACGAGGAGGUAAGACGAGAGAAUGGAGGUGAUUACGGGACCCACGAGAAGAUGAAGCAAGAGGACUAGAUGUCCGCGUCAUCCAAGAUUCCUAAAUGACAUCAAAGAAAACUUUUCAUCGAUCUGUAUAUAAUACACUAAACCUCAAUAUAAUUUUGCACAUCAAAUGUAUCAGAUAUCUCAGUGAUCCACAAAUCUUGUUCAGAUACAACAUCUGUCGCGUGCCCCAAAUAAUCACAUUCAGGAGGUGUGAGCCUAUCUUAGAAUCCAUAUUAAUAAAAUUUCAUCAACAAUCUACUCCAGGAUCCAAUCUACAUUUGAGGACACUAAAAACCAUUAAAGUCAUAAUUCGAACCCAUAAUCCACAAUUCAUAGGCCUGUGUAGUUAUAAUCAAACACCAAAUCACUCGAUGAUUCAUAAAAUCGAAAGCCAACUCGACUAAACGAUAACCACAUCAUAAAUCCAUAAGCGCGAAAAUCUAUACAAUCACAAAACCAACGUUUACCACAGGUUCGUAUCAUUUUACAAAUUAAACUUCUUCUACUUCGAUCCCUCUUCUCUUCUCUUAUCAAGUUACGUUGGUAGUAGCAAGUUUCUGCUUUGAUAUGCCGACAAGUCAAACACUUUGAAAACAUACAUUGCAAUCACCUUCUUCAAACCUUCUCACGAAUAAUGACUUUGGAGAUCUCUAUACAACUUAGUGUACCAGAAUGCAUGUUGUACUUUGAAUUAUGACCUUGCUUCAGNNN
rnacentral:lncRNA from 1 species